rnacentral:rRNA from 1 species
CCUACGGGAGGCAGCAGUGAGGAAUAUUGGUCAAUGGCCGAGAGGCUGAACCAGCCAAGUCGUGUGAGGGAAGACGGCCCUACGGGUUGUAAACCUCUUUUGUCGGGGAGCAAAGCGAGUCACGUGUGACUCUUUGAGAGUACCCGAAGAAAAAGCAUCGGCUAACUCCGGGCCAGCAGCCGCGGUAAUACGGAGGAUGCGAGCGUUAUCCGGAUUUAUUGGGUUUAAAGGGUGCGCAGGCGGAGGUGCAGGUCAGCGGUCAAAUUGCGGGGCUCAACCCCGUACUGCCGUUGAUACUGCAUCCCUAGAGUGCGCGAGAGGUAUGCGGAAUGCGUGGUGUAGCGGUGAAAUGCAUAGAUAUCACGCAGAACUCCGAUUGCGAAGGCAGCAUACCGGCGCGCAACUGACGCUCAUGCACGAAAGCGUGGGUAUCGAACAGGAUUAGAUACCCGGGUAGUC